ACAACAUUUGUAUUAGUUUCAUUGAAGCAAAUCCCUUCAGCUCUUUCCAGCAAAGUAAAGACCAGGAAAGCCAACACAGGUUUCCAAAUUGUGCCGAUCAUUUUUGAAUGUUGAGAACUUACACUGUUUGUGCGUCACUGCGUUAGACAGAAUAAAUUCUAUGCAAUCACAAUAAAGAUCCCUAACAUGAUGCAAUAUAUUUUUGUAAUGUCAUCCGUUUCAGCG